rnacentral:lncRNA from 1 species
GUGGGCCCCGUGGCGGACGGCGUAACGGCAGGUGGUGAAGACGUAGAGGGUGGCGAGGUGGUGGAGGAUGAAGAUGACGUCGUUGGGGAAGAAGAGGAGGUAGUGGAGGAGGUCGAGGGAGAAGUAGGCGAUGCUGAACUCGAGCACGGUGUUUUGGGUGUCGGUGUUGGGGGAGGCGAAGGUGGUGGCUUUGUAGCUGCGGAGGAUUGCGUGGGCGGCCAUGGCGGCAGCUGCGGAGCCGUGGGAUAAAGAGAUU